rnacentral:rRNA from 1 species
AUGGUAUGUACUGGCUUUACUGAUUCCUCCUUCUUGAAGAACUGUAAUGUCAUUAAUUUGGUGUUGCAGGGAAACAGGACUGUUACUUUGAAAAAAUUAGAGUGUUUAAAGCAGGCUAACGCUUGAAUACAUUAGCAUGGAAUAAUGAAAUAGGACGUUCGAUCCUAUUUUGUUGGUUUCUAGGAUUGACGUAAUGAUUAAUAGGGAUAGUUGGGGCAUUAGUAUUCAAUUGUCAGAGGUGAAAUUCUUGGAUUUAUUGAAGACUAACUACUGCGAAAGCAUUUGCCAAGGAUGUUUUCAUUAAUCAAGAACGAAAGUUAGGGGAUCGAAGACGAUCAGAUACCGUCGUAGUCUUAACCAUAAACUAUGCCGACUAGGGAUCGGAAUGAUGUUA